GACGAACCGUGCGAACGUUGUUCGGAAUCACUGGGCUUAAAGGGCGCGUAGGCGGGUUCGCAAGUCUGUGGUGAAAGCCUCCAGCUUAACUGGAGAAGUGCCGUGGAUACUGCGAAUCUUGAGGAGGGUAGGGGCGUCUGGAACGGUCGGUGGAGCGGUGAAAUGCGUUGAUAUCGACCGGAACUCCGGUGGCGAAGGCGGGUCUCUGGGCCGAUACUGACGCUGAGGAGCGAAAGCGUGGGGAGCAAACAGG
rnacentral:rRNA from 1 species